UAAGACGUAGGAUGCAAGCGUUGUCCGGAUUUAUUGGGCGUAAAGAGUUCGUAGGCGGUUCGUUAAGUCUGGUGUUAAAGAUCGGGGCUCAACCCUGGGAGUGCACUGGAUACUGGCGGACUGGAGUAUGGUAGAGGCGAGUGGAAUUCCCAGUGUAGCGGUGAAAUGCGUAGAUAUUGGGAAGAACACCGGUGGCGCAAGCGACUCGCUGGGCCAUUACUGACGCUGAGGAACGAAAGCUAGGGGAGCGAAUGGGAUUAGAUACCCCAGUAGUCCUAGCCGUAAACGAUGGAUACUAGGCGUAUCGGGUAUCGACCCCUGAUGUGCCGCAGCUAACGCGAUAAGUAUCCCGCCUGAGUAGUACGGCCGCAAGGUUG
rnacentral:rRNA from 1 species